rnacentral:ncRNA from 1 species
ACUGCCGGGACUACGCCGGAUAAGAGCGGCUAUAUGCCGCGCUGUGAAUCCGGCGGGGUUUUA